CAAAUCGCAUCUUCUUCACAUGUUAACAUAAAAGUCUCACGAAAAGUCUACUUUUCUGAUAUAUUUUGUAAACAAACGCAAAACCCAACCAACUGAAGAUGAAGAUUUUUACACAGUAAAAACUUUCCCGAGAUUUGAAUGGAAUGAUGUUCAAGAUCUUGCAUCGCAGGUUGCAUACUCGCAUCUUAAAAGGCGCUUACACCUCUGGAAGAAUUUAAUGAUUUUUUGCUGGCAACAAACAACAUCCCGACGAGAAAUAACACUAAGGAGAUGCAAACUCGGUGCCAAAAGAGUCCUGAACUGCCAGAAAGCCAAGAAAGAGAAGCGAAAAAUUCUAAAAAAAAAUUGUAUGAAUAAAAUCUCGAGGCCGGACGAUAAGUGCCCAUAAUCAAACAAAAACUUUUUCUUCGUUUCCUCCACAUCAGUUAUUGACCGGCUCGGAAGAGAUUUUCGAAUGCGCCAAGAGAAGAAGCCCCUGGAAAGUCGGCAGCCAGCAGGGCUUUAUCAAAUGAGAUCUGGCGCCAUCGAGCAAUGUGCUAUCAUGCCCAAUGAUCAGAGGCGUCGCAUCCGCAGCAUCCAGCGCUCGCCCUAACAUCAUCGCAAAAACGAAAUCGACCCUUUUAUGUAUGCGCGAGAGUCAGCCAAGUCGAGCCAGUUUCUUUAUCGCGGCGGCGGCAGCGCCACAAUUAUAUCAGAAUGCCCAGCGCGUUUUAUGGACCAGCAAGGAAAAUGAAAGUUUAUUGCGCUCCGAAACAGCUUCCUCUCU